UUAAGUUAGAAAGGGCGCACGGUGGAUGCCUUGACACUAGGAGUCGAUGAAGGACGGGACUAACGCCGAUAUGCUUCGGGGAGCUGUAAGUAAGCUUUGAUCCGAAGAUUUCCGAAUGGGGAAACCCACCAUACGUAAUGGUAUGGUAUCCUUAUCUGAAUACAUAGGGUAAGGAAGACAGACCCAGGGAACUGAAACAUCUAAGUACCUGGAGGAAGAGAAAGCAAAUGCGAUUUCCUGAGUAGCGGCGAGCGAAACGGAACAUAGCCCAAACCAAGAGGCUUGCCUCUUGGGGUUGUAGGACAUUCUAUACGGAGUUACAAAGGAACGAGGUAGACGAAGCGACCUGGAAAGGUCCGUCGUAGAGGGUAACAACCCCGUAGUCGAAACUUCGUUCUCUCUUGAAUGUAUCCUGAGUACGGCGGAACACGUGAAAUUCCGUCGGAAUCUGGGAGGACCAUCUCCCAAGGCUAAAUACUCCCUAGUGAUCGAUAGUGAACCAGUACCGUGAGGGAAAGGUGAAAAGCACCCCGGAAGGGGAGUGAAAGAGAUCCUGAAACCGUGUGCCUACAAAUAGUCAGAGCCCGUUAACGGGUGAUGGCGUGCCUUUUGUAGAAUGAACCGGCGAGUUACGAUCCCGUGCGAGGUUAAGCUGAAGAGGCGGAGCCGCAGCGAAAGCGAGUCUGAAUAGGGCGUUUAGUACGUGGUCGUAGACCCGAAACCAGGUGAUCUACCCAUGUCCAGGGUGAAGUUCAGGUAACACUGAAUGGAGGCCCGAACCCACGCACGUUGAAAAGUGCGGGGAUGAGGUGUGGGUAGCGGAGAAAUUCCAAUCGAACCUGGAGAUAGCUGGUUCUCCCCGAAAUAGCUUUAGGGCUAGCCUUAAGUGUAAGAGUCUUGGAGGUAGAGCACUGAUUGGACUAGGGGUCCUCAUCGGAUUACCGAAUUCAGUCAAACUCCGAAUGCCAAUGACUUAUCCUUAGGAGUCAGACUGCGAGUGAUAAGAUCCGUAGUCAAAAGGGAAACAGCCCAGACCGCCAGCUAAGGUCCCAAAGUGUGUAUUAAGUGGAAAAGGAUGUGGAGUUGCUUAGACAACUAGGAUGUUGGCUUAGAAGCAGCCACCAUUUAAAGAGUGCGUAAUAGCUCACUAGUCGAGUGACUCUGCGCCGAAAAUGUACCGGGGCUAAAUACACCACCGAAGCUGCGGAUUGAUACCAAUGGUAUCAGUGGUAGGGGAGCGUUCUAAGGACAGUGAAGUCAGACCGGAAGGACUGGUGGAGUGCUUAGAAGUGAGAAUGCCGGUAUGAGUAGCGAAAGACGGGUGAGAAUCCCGUCCACCGAAUGCCUAAGGUUUCCUGAGGAAGGCUCGUCCGCUCAGGGUUAGUCAGGACCUAAGCCGAGGCCGACAGGCGUAGGCGAUGGACAACAGGUUGAUAUUCCUGUACCACCUCUUUAUCGUUUGAGCAAUGGAGGGACGCAGAAGGAUAGAAGAAGCGUGCGAUUGGUUGUGCACGUCCAAGCAGUUAGGCUGAUAAGUAGGCAAAUCCGCUUAUCGUAAAGGCUGAGCUGUGAUGGGGAAGCUCCUUAUGGAGCGAAGUCUUUGAUUCCCCGCUGCCAAGAAAAGCUUCUAGCGAGAUAAAAGGUGCCUGUACCGCAAACCGACACAGGUAGGCGAGGAGAGAAUCCUAAGGUGUGCGAGAGAACUCUGGUUAAGGAACUCGGCAAAAUGACCCCGUAACUUCGGGAGAAGGGGUGCUUUCUUAACGGAAAGCCGCAGUGAAUAGGCCCAAGCGACUGUUUAGCAAAAACACAGCUCUCUGCGAAGCCGUAAGGCGAAGUAUAGGGGGUGACACCUGCCCGGUGCUGGAAGGUUAAGGAGAGGGGUUAGCGUAAGCGAAGCUCUGAACUGAAGCCCCAGUAAACGGCGGCCGUAACUAUAACGGUCCUAAGGUAGCGAAAUUCCUUGUCGGGUAAGUUCCGACCCGCACGAAAGGUGUAACGAUUUGGGCACUGUCUCAACCAGAGACUCGGUGAAAUUAUAGUACCUGUGAAGAUGCAGGUUACCCGCGACAGGACGGAAAGACCCCGUGGAGCUUUACUGUAGCCUGAUAUUGAAUUUUGGUACAGUUUGUACAGGAUAGGCGGGAGCCAUUGAAACCGGAGCGCUAGCUUCGGUGGAGGCGCUGGUGGGAUACCGCCCUGACUGUAUUGAAAUUCUAACCUACGGGUCUUAUCGACCCGGGAGACAGUGUCAGGUGGGCAGUUUGACUGGGGCGGUCGCCUCCUAAAGUGUAACGGAGGCGCCCAAAGGUUCCCUCAGAAUGGUUGGAAAUCAUUCGUAGAGUGCAAAGGCAUAAGGGAGCUUGACUGCGAGACCUACAAGUCGAGCAGGGACGAAAGUCGGGCUUAGUGAUCCGGUGGUUCCGCAUGGAAGGGCCAUCGCUCAACGGAUAAAAGCUACCCCGGGGAUAACAGGCUUAUCUCCCCCAAGAGUCCACAUCGACGGGGAGGUUUGGCACCUCGAUGUCGGCUCAUCGCAUCCUGGGGCUGUAGUCGGUCCCAAGGGUUGGGCUGUUCGCCCAUUAAAGCGGUACGCGAGCUGGGUUCAGAACGUCGUGAGACAGUUCGGUCCCUAUCCGUCGUGGGCGUAGGAAAUUUGAGAGGAGCUGUCCUUAGUACGAGAGGACCGGGAUGGACGCACCGCUGGUGUACCAGUUGUUCUGCCAAGGGCAUAGCUGGGUAGCUAUGUGCGGAAGGGAUAAGUGCUGAAAGCAUCUAAGCAUGAAGCCCCCCUCAAGAUGAGAUUUCCCAUAGCGUAAGCUAGUAAGAUCCCUGAAAGAUGAUCAGGUUGAUAGGUUCGAGGUGGAAGCAUGGUGACAUGUGGAGCUGACGAAUACUAAUAGAUCGAGGACUUAACCAU
rnacentral:rRNA from 10 species